rnacentral:rRNA from 1 species
UACGGGGGGAGCAAGCGUUGUUCGGAUUUACUGGGCGUAAAGGGCGCGUAGGCGGCCACCGCAAGUCGACUGUGAAAUCUCUGGGCUUAACCCAGAAAGGUCAGCCGAUACUGCGGGGCUAGAGUGCAGAAGGGGCAACUGGAAUUCUCGGUGUAGCGGUGAAAUGCGUAGAUAUCGGGAGGAACACCGGUGGCGAAGGCGGUUCUCUGGGCCUUACCUGACGCUGGGGAGCGAAAGCGUGGGGAGCGAACAGG